AGAUCAGACUUCCUAGCAAUUCGCCGCAGGGUUGUGCGGCAGUGGGACUGUCACUUAAAUGGCCCAUUUUUGUGACGCUCUGUUGUGUUCUUUAACACCCCAAUGUAGUAUAAGUAGACUUUAUAUUUCACAAUUAUUGUUUUCUGUC